AUGAACGCUGGCGGCGUGCCUCAUCCCUGCCAGUCGCGCGAACAGACGAGGAGCUUGCUCCUCUGACGUUAGCGGCGGACGGGUGAGUAACACGUGGAUAACCUACCUAUAAGACUGGGAUAACUUCGGGAAACCGGAGCUAAUACCGGAUAAUAUAUUGAACCGCAUGGUUCCAUAGUGAAAGACGGUUUUGCUGUCACUUAUAGAUGGAUCCGCGCCGCAUUAGCUAGUUGGUAAGGUAACGGCUUGCCAAGGCAACGAUGCGUAGCCGACCUGAGAGGGUGAUCGGCCACACUGGAACUGAGACACGGUCCAGACUCCUACGGGAGGCAGCAGUAGGGAAUCUUCCGCAAUGGGCGAAAGCCUGACGGAGCAACGCCGCGUGAGUGAUGAAGGUCUUCGGAUCGUAAAACUCUGUUAUUAGGGAAGAACAAAUGUGUAAGUAACUAUGCACGUCUUGACGGUACCUAAUCAGAAAGCCACGGCUAACUACGUG
rnacentral:rRNA from 1 species